GGGACCGGCUGAGGACUCUGUGUAUCUACAGUUUGCUUUGCGACUGACUGUGUGUGCUUGCUUGUGGGUUUGGGCGCAAAUGAAGAAGCAAACGAGUAUGCGACCAAAAAAAAAAAAAAAAAAUCUAUGAGAAAGAGACAGAUUUUUCUGGAAGUUAACUCAUUUUGUGCUCAAGAAGGACUCAAGAUUUUGGAGGCUACUUUUUUUUUUGUUGAAUAAGUAAAUUUUUUUUUUUCAGUCACUUUUGUCCAGUUUUUGCAAUUUUGACAGAACCCUUGAUAGAAAAAAAAAAAAAACUACAAGUUAGCUCUGGUGACAUUAUGGUGGGGGAACGCCCCCUGAGUUUGACUGAUGGAGAGACACGCUGAUGGAGAAGUGAGAGUCGUUCAGCUCUGACCCCGAACAAUAAGCUUCAACGUGAUGGGAGCAGACAGCCGCAAUCAUGGAAAUGUCACGGCCAACAUCAGAGACCCUGCAGCCUCCUUUUUCAUUCCCUUAAUCCACAAUCCUUCCUCUGCUCUCCUCUUCUGAGCAAUAUACAUAUUCAUUGGCUCAAGUCCUCACCAUUCUAAUGAGGGCUAGACCAGCGUGCUAUGAAAGAGAGCAGAGAUAAGGGAGGUGGGUGGGUGGGGGGUUAAAAAGAGGAGAGACCGUCUUUGAACUCCCAAAAAAUAAGCGAUGGAUGAGAGGUCAUGAUGAAUAGAUAGAUUGUUGAAAUGAUAAGAGAUACAGUGAGAGAGACAGAUCAGAUCCUGGUUCUUUUUCGUGGUCUAUAGACAGCAGAGUUAGUUGUGUUUGAUUUAAAUGGGGAAUUAUUUAGUCGCUUUCAAUAAGUGUGCUGUUAUACAUUUAUUUCACCCUGCAAACUGCUUACAUGAGGGGGUGGGGGAAACGUAGGAGUACAAGAGAGGUGGAAGAAAUACUGACUAAAUGGAGACAUAGAGAUGCAUAUAUAGAUAGAUGUACUGUACAAUAUUUUGAGGUGCUGAAGAAAUUGAAAUGAAGGUUUUUGAAUCUUUUGUUGACAGGCAUGUUUAGAGUAGAGAUGCACAAAUAUACGGUAGGUGAUAAUAUCAGUAGUGGCCGAUUUUAAUUAAAUACUUAUUAAACAUAUACAUAUAAAUAUAAAAAAUGAUUUACUAAUUUUAAUUAUUAAUUUAAUAUAAACAACCCCAAUUCCGAAAAAGUUGGGACAGUAUGAAAAAUGCUAAUAAAAACAAAAAUUAGUGAUUUGUAAAUUAUAUUCAUCCUUUGCUAUAUUGAAAGCACCACAACUACACAUAAUAUGAUGCUUUACCUUGUGAAUUUUUUUGUUUUGUUUGUUUGUUUGUUUUUUUUGCAACACUCCAAAAAAAGUUGACACAGGGGCAAUUUAAGACUAAUAACAAUAUGAUGAGUUGAAAUAAGGCCAUGUGAAACAGGAAAUGUUAAACAGGUGAGGCAAAUGUGUCAUAGUAUAUAAGGAGCAUCCAAAAACAGCCUAGUCCUUCAGGAGCAAGGAUCGUUCAAGACUUGUCAAAUUGCCAACAGAUGCUUCAGCAAAUAAUCCAGCUCUCUGAGAACAAUUUUCCCCAAAGACAAAUUGGAAGAAUUUUGGGCAUUUCACCCUCUACAGUGCACAACAUAGUUAAAAGAUUCAAGGAAUCUGGUCAAAUCUCGGUGCGUAAAGGGCAAGAUGAAAACCACUUCUGAAUGUGCGUGAUCUCUGAUCCCUCAGACGUCACGGUCUUAAACAUCAUUCAUCUGUAAUGGAUUUCAUGAACAUGGGCUUGGAAUAACUUUAAUAAACCUAUGUUACUCAACACCACUCGCCGCUGCACCCACAGAUGCAAGUUAACUUUACUAUGCAAAGCAGAAGCCAUACAUCAACACUGUCCAGAAGCGCUGCUGACUUAUCUGGGCUCGGUCUCAUCUUAGAUGGAAAGUAGAACAGUGGAACUGUGUUUUUUGGUCUGAAGAGUCCACAUUUCAAAAUGUUUUUGAAAAACGAGGAAAAGGACCAUCCAAGCUGUUAUCAGCGUCAGGUCCAAAAGCCAGUGUCUGCAUGGGCCAGGGGUGUGUUAGUGCCCAUGGCAUGGGUAACUCGCACAUCUGUGAGAACACCAUGAAUGCAGACAGAUAUGAUAAUGUUUUUAUUAGCAUUUUCAUACUGUCCUAACUUUUUUGGAAUUGGAGUUGUAAUAGGCCUGUCAUGAUUAUUAAAUAAUCGUCUAAUUGUG